rnacentral:ncRNA from 1 species
UGUUUUGAUCCUAGACAUUAUAUUGCUUGUAACUAUAAUUAUACAUGCUAGUCUCCACACACCUGUGAACAAAGCCCACACACGGAGCCGGCAUCAGGCACACCUAAACUUAAGGUAGCCCAAAACGCCUAGCAUCGCCACACCCCCACGGGCCAUCAGCAGUAGUAAACACUAAGCAAUGAGAUAAUAACACUUGACUUGGUAAUAGUUAAACCUAUUAGAGCCGGUAAACCCCGUGCCAGCCACCGCGGCUAUACGAGGGGCCCAAAACAAUAUACCUCGGCGUAAAUUGUGACUAAGGCGCAAUUUUAAGUUGGGGCCUAAGCCUGAUAUAAAGUUGUAAAAUACAUAGUGCAUCAGAUAAGUCCUCCUCCCCUAACUAAAAAACUCCCCUGACCUCACGAAACCUGGGACCCAAACUAGGAUUAGAUACCCUACUAUGCCCAGCCGUAAACCAUGAUGCACUCGCACCCGCCAGAGAACUACAAACGACUAGCUUGAAACUCAAAAGACUUGACAGUAUCUUAUACACACCUAGAGGAGCCUGCCCUAUAAUCGAUAACCCACGAUAUACCUUACCCGCCUUUGCCAAACCAGCCUAUAUACCUCCGUCGCCAGUCCGCCUGUCAACAGCCACCAAAGCGCGUACAACAGUUUUUAACUAACACGACAGGUCAAGGUGUAGCUAAUAGGCCGGCAAGUGGUGGGCUACAUUUUCUUUACAAGAAAGCACCAACGGGCCAUGAAAACCGCACAAAAAGUCGGAUUUAGCAGUAAGGUGGGCCAGCAAGCCCAUCUGAAGCACACCAUAAGAU